CAGGACGAACGCUGGCGGCGUGCCUAAUACAUGCAAGUCGAACGCUUCUUUCCUCCCGAGUGCUUGCACUCAAUUGGAAAGAGGAGUGGCGGACGGGUGAGUAACACGUGGGUAACCUACCCAUCAGAGGGGGAUAACACUUGGAAACAGGUGCUAAUACCGCAUAACAGUUUAUGCCGCAUGGCAUAAGAGUGAAAGGCGCUUUCGGGUGUCGCUGAUGGAUGGACCCGCGGUGCAUUAGCUAGUUGGUGAGGUAACGGCUCACCAAGGCCACGAUGCAUAGCCGACCUGAGAGGGUGAUCGGCCACACUGGGACUGAGACACGGCCCAGACUCCUACGGGAGGCAGCAGUAGGGAAUCUUCGGCAAUGGACGAAAGUCUGACCGAGCAACGCCGCGUGAGUGAAGAAGGUUUUCGGAUCGUAAAACUCUGUUGUUAGAGAAGAACAAGGACGUUAGUAACUGAACGUCCCCUGACGGUAUCUAACCAGAAAGCCACGGCUAACUACGUGCCAGCAGCCGCGGUAAUACGUAGGUGGCAAGCGUUGUCCGGAUUUAUUGGGCGUAAAGCGAGCGCAGGCGGUUUCUUAAGUCUGAUGUGAAAGCCCCCGGCUCAACCGGGGAGGGUCAUUGGAAACUGGGAGACUUGAGUGCAGAAGAGGAGAGUGGAAUUCCAUGUGUAGCGGUGAAAUGCGUAUAUAUAUGGAGGAACACCAGUGGCGAAGGCGGCUCUCU
rnacentral:rRNA from 1 species